UAUCUUCAAAAUAGAAAUGGAAAGGAUCCAAUUUGAGCAAGUUUCCAAUUCAAAAGCAAAAACUAUUGGAAUUGAUCAAAUUGGAAAAGUGGACCCCCUUUUUUUAUUUCAUUUCUUUGGACCUCGAAAGAAUUUGUCGAUAUUUCCGAUUAAAUCUUCUUGUUCCUAGAUUUUCUAUAGGAAUAAAUUGUUAUUCCCUUCCUCUACAGAGAAACCUUUCUUCCAAGUCACAAGGUAAGAGUCAUUUCCAUUAUCUUUCUUUGAUUACAGAUCAAGAUGAAUUUACAUCUAUCUAAGUACCAGCUCCGCCCAAUAAUUCACCAAUCUACCAUGAGAUGGUAUAAC
rnacentral:lncRNA from 1 species